rnacentral:rRNA from 1 species
CCUACGGGAGGCAGCAGUAGGGAAUCUUUCACAAUGGGCGAAAGCCUGAUGGAGCAACGCCGCGUGCAGGAUGAAGGCCUUCGGGUUGUAAACUGCUUUUAUAAGCGAGAAAUACGAUGGUAACUUAUGAAUAAGGAUUGGCUAACUACGUGCCAGCAGCCGCGGUCAUACGUAGGAUCCGAGCAUUAUCCGGAGUGACUGGGUGUAAAGAGUUGCGUAGGUGGCAUAAUAAGUAGCUAGUGAAAUCUGGUGGCUCAACCAUUCAGACUAUUAGCUAAACUGUUAAUCUCGAGACCGUUAGGGGUAACUAGAAUUUCUAGUGUAGGAGUGAAAUCCGUAGAUAUUAGAAGGAACACCAAUAGCGUAGGCAGGUUGCUGGGACGGUUCUGACACUAAGGCACGAAAGCGUAGGGAGCAAACGGGAUUAGAUACCCGGGUAGUC